UACGGAGGGUGCGAGCGUUGUCCGGAAUCACUGGGCGUAAAGGGCGCGUAGGCGGGCGAUCAAGUCGGUGGUGAAAUCCUACAGCUUAACUGUAGAACUGCCUCCGAUACUGGUUGUCUCGAGGAAGGUAGGGGCGUGCGGAACAGUUGGUGGAGCGGUGAAAUGCGUUGAUAUCAACUGGAACUCCGGUGGCGAAGGCGGCACGCUGGACCUUUUCUGACGCUGAGGCGCGAAAGCCAGGGGAGCAAACGGG
rnacentral:rRNA from 1 species